rnacentral:rRNA from 1 species
GUAAAUAAUUAAGGGCGUAUGGUGGAUGCCUAGGCUCUCAGAGGCGAUGAAGGACGUGAUAAGCUGCGAAAAGCUCCGUUUAGGUGCAAAUAACCUUUGAUGCGGAGAUCUCCGAAUGGGAUAACCCAAUAUGUUGAAGACAUAUUAUACCGUAAGGUAGGCAAACGCAGGGAACUGAAACAUCUAAGUACCUGCAGGAGAAGAAAACAAACGUGAUUCCCCCAGUAGCGGCGAGCGACCGGGGAUAAGCCCAAACCGUUAUUGUUUCGGCAGUAGCGGGGUAGUAGGACUGCGACAUUGAUGAAAUAAAUGAAAUGGAACACUUUGGAAAAUGUGAUCACAGAGGGUGAUAAUCCCGUACAUGCAAGUUUAUGAAUCAUAGCAGACUCCUGAGUAAGUCGGGACACGUGUAAUCCUGACCGAAUCCGCCGGGACCAUCCGGCAAGGCUAAAUACUCCUGAGAGACCGAUAGUGAACCAGUACCGUGAGGGAAAGGUGAAAAGCACUUCGAACAGAAGAGUGAAAUAGUCCCUGAACCCAUACGCCUACAAGCUGUCGGAGCCGCUUCGUGCGGUGACGGCGUGCCUUUUGCAUAAUGAGCCUACGAGUUACUCAUCACCAGCGAGGUUAAGUACUUCAGGUACGUAAGCCGAAGCGAAAGCGAGUCUGAAUAGGGCGUCAAGUUGGUGGUGGUAGACGCGAAACCUUAGUGAUCUACCCAUGGGCAGGGUGAAGGUUUGGUAACACAAACUGGAGGCCCGAACCGGUAAACGUUGAAAAGUUUUCGGAUGACCUGUGGGUAGGGGUGAAAGGCCAAUCAAACUGGGAAAUAGCUCGUACUCUCCGAAAUGCAUUUAGGUGCAGCCUCUGUUGUUUUGUUCUAGAGGUAGAGCUACUGAUUGGAUGCGAGGGCUUCACCGCCUAUCAAAUCCGGCCAAACUCCGAAUGCUAGAACAUGAAGACAGGGAGUGAGCCAGCGGGUGCUAAGGUCCGUUGACGAAAGAGGGAGAACUCAGACCAUCAGCUAAGGUCCCCAAUUAUAUGCUAAGUUGGAAUUAAAACGGGGUGGGACUGCUUAGACAGCUAGGAUGUUGGCUUGGAAGCAGCCAUUCAUUUAAAGAGUGCGUAACAGCUCACUAGUCGAGCGGUCCUGCAUGGAUAAUACGCGGGCAUAAGCAUAUAACCGAAGCUAUGGGAUUGUAGAUGAUACAAUCGGUAGGAGAGCAUUCCAUUCAGCAUAGAAGCAGUAUCGUGAGGUAUUGUGGAGCGGAUGGAAAAGCAAAUGUAGGCAUAAGUAACGAUAAUGCGGGUGAGAACCCCGCACGCCGAAAGAUCAAGGAUUCCCCGGCAAUGUCAAUCAUCCGGGGGUAAGUCGGAUCCUAAGGGUAAGCCGAGUGGCGAUCCCGAUGGCAAACAGGUUAAUAUUCCUGUACUGAUCAUAACUGCGAUGCAGCGACGCAGAGGUGACACUGCUGCGUACUGACGGAAUAGUACGUUGAAACCCGUAUUCUUUGAUACCGGUAGUGAAGCACGCCGGUAGAGAUGAAAGGUGAUAGUACCGCAAUGCUUCGGUUGCGCGGAUAACGCAGGUAAGCUGACUGCCAAGAAAACCUGCUAAGCUUCAGGUAAUGAUCAUCCGUACUGUAAACGGACACACGUGAUCAGGUAGAAAAUACUAAGGCGCUCGAGAGAUUCAUGGUUAAGGAACUAGGCAAAAUGGUCCUGUAACUUCGGGAUAAAGGACGCUCUUGUGAAAGAGCCGCAGAUAAUAGGCCCAGGCGACUGUUUACCAAAAACACAUGGCUAUGCUAAUUCGCAAGAAGAUGUAUAUGGCCUGACACCUGCCCGGUGCCGGAAGGUUAAGAGGAGAGCUCAGAGGUAACUCGAAGGUUUGAAUUGAAGCCCCGGUAAACGGCGGCCGUAACUAUAACGGUCCUAAGGUAGCGAAAUUCCUUGUCGGGUAAGUUC